AAGAUGGCGACCGGCGCACGGGUGAGUAACACGUAUCCAACCUGCCGAUAACUCUGGAAUGGCCUUUCGAAAGAAAGAUUAAUACCGGAUGGCAUACGAAUAUCGCAUGAUAUUUUUAUUUAAAGAAUUUCGGUUAUCGAUGGGGAUGCGUUCCAUUAGUUUGUUGGCGGGGUAACGGCCCACCAAGACAACGAUGGAUAGGGGUUCUGAGAGGAAGGUCCCCCACAUUGGAACUGAGACACGGUCCAA
rnacentral:rRNA from 1 species